CUUGCCCAGAGAAGCACUGUAGGUACUUGCUGUGUCACAUGUACAUCAGUAGAUGGCAGAGAGGAAAGAUACUAUGUCUAUGAGACGCUCAAAUGCUCAAUAUUCUAACCUAUGAAUGUCUGAAUGAUUAACAGCCUAACAUU
rnacentral:snoRNA from 1 species